rnacentral:rRNA from 1 species
GUGGAUAACCUACCCUUAGGACCGGAAUAACCCCGGGAAACUGGGGAUAAUACCGGAUAAGCCAUAGACGCUGGAAUGCCCUAUGGUUCAAAGCUCCGGCGCCUAAGGAUGGAUCUGCGGUCUAUCAGGUUGUAGUGGGUGUAACGUACCUACUAGCCGACGACGGAUACGGGUUGUGAGAGCAAGAGCCCGGAGAUGGAUUCUGAGACACGAAUCCAGGCCCUACGGGGUGCAGCAGGCGCUAACACUUUACAAUGCGGGAAACCGCGAUAAGGGAACCCCGAGUGCCAGCAUGAAAUGUUGGCUGUCCGGAUGAUUAAAAAUCAUUUGUUAGCAAGGGCCGGGCAAGACCGGUGCCAGCCGCCGCGGUAACACCGGCGGCCCGAGUGGUAGCCGUUUUUAUUGGGUCUAAAGGGUCCGUAGCCGGCCUGAUAAGUCCUUUGGGAAAUCUGGCAGCUUAACUGUCAGGCUUCUAAGGGAUACUGUCAGGCUUGGGACCGGAAGAGGUAAGGGGUACUCCAGGGGUAGGAGUGAAAUCUUGUAAUCCCUGGGGGACCAUCUGUGGCGAAGGCGCCUUACCAGAACGGGUCCGACGGUGAGGGACAAAAGCUAGGGGAGCAAACCGGAUUAGAUACCCGGGUAGUCCUAGCUGUAAACGAUGCUCGCUAGGUGUCAGAAACGGUGCGACCGUGUUUGGUGCCGCAGGGAAGCCGUUAAGCGAGCCACCUGGGAAGUACGGUCGCAAGGCUGAAACUUAAAGGAAUUGGCGGGGGAGCACUACAACGGGUGGAGCCUGCGGUUUAAUUGGAUUCAACGCCGGAAAACUCACCGGGUGCGACAGCAACAUGUAGGUCAGGCUGAAGGUCUUACCUGAAUCGCUGAGAGGAGGUGCAUGGCCGUCGUCAGUUCGUACUGUGAAGCAUCCUGUUAAGUCAGGCAACGAGCGAGACCCGCGCCCACAGUUGCCAGCAUGUUCUCUGGAACGAUGGGUACACUGUGGGGACCGCCGCUGCUAAAGCGGAGGAAGGAACGGGCUACGGUAGGUCAGUAUGCCCCGAAUCUCCCGGGCUACACGCGGGC